rnacentral:rRNA from 1 species
AGCGGCGGACGGGUGAGUAAUGCUUGGGAACAUGCCUUGAGGUGGGGGACAACAGUUGGAAACGACUGCUAAUACCGCAUAAUGUCUACGGACCAAAGGGGGCUUCGGCUCUCGCCUUUAGAUUGGCCCAAGUGGGAUUAGCUAGUUGGUGAGGUAAUGGCUCACCAAGGCGACGAUCCCUAGCUGGUUUGAGAGGAUGAUCAGCCACACUGGGACUGAGACACGGCCCAGACUCCUACGGGAGGCAGCAGUGGGGAAUAUUGCACAAUGGGCGCAAGCCUGAUGCAGCCAUGCCGCGUGUGUGAAGAAGGCCUUCGGGUUGUAAAGCACUUUCAGUCAGGAGGAAAGCGUGGUGGUUAAUACCCAUCAUGUGUGACGUUACUGACAGAAGAAGCACCGGCUAACUCCGUGCCAGCAGCCGCGGUAAUACGGAGGGUGCGAGCGUUAAUCGGAAUUACUGGGCGUAAAGCGUACGCAGGCGGUUUGUUAAGCGAGAUGUGAAAGCCCCGGGCUCAACCUGGGAACUGCAUUUCGAACUGGCAAACUAGAGUGUGAUAGAGGGUGGUAGAAUUUCAGGUGUAGCGGUGAAAUGCGUAGAGAUCUGAAGGAAUACCGAUGGCGAAGGCAGCCACCUGGGUCAACACUGACGCUCAUGUA